GCUCACGGUAGUAGAGAAAUGAGGUGGAAUCGCCCUUUAGCCAUUUGCCGAACCGGAGGUCUCAAUCGGAAGCGAACUUCAGCUCCGUGUUGUUCAUCAUGUUUAUUUCUUGAUAAUCCGUUGGAUUACAGUGAACACUGAUAAAAGAGCAGGUCCGUGUUGAGGUUUCCUCACAGUCUGAGAGCCUUCAAUAAAGUCAAAGGAGCUAUUCUCUCCACAUCAGUACUACACACUCCAUCACAAGCCAAAAUGACAUGCUGUUUGUAGGGUGAAAACUCUGGAUUCAAGUUUCUUCGUGCUCAGG